rnacentral:rRNA from 1 species
AUUGAACGCUGGCGGCAGGCCUAACACAUGCAAGUCGAACGAGUGGCGGACGGGUGAGUAAUGUCUGGGAAACUGCCCGCUGGAGGGGGAUAACUACUGGAAAAGGUAGCUAAAACCGCAUACCAUCUGAUGUGCCCAGAUGGGGUUAGCUAGUAGCUGGGGUAACGGGUCACCUAGGCGACGAUCUCUAGCUGGUCUGAGAGGAUGACCAGGCACACUGGAACUGAGACACGGUCCAGACUCUUACGGGAGGCAGCAGUGGGGAAUAUUGCAAAAUGGGCGCAAGCCUGAUGCAGCCAUGCCGCGUGUAUGAAGAAGGCCUUCGGGUUGUAAAGUACUUUCAGCGAGGAGGCGUUAAUCGCAGAAGAAGCACCGGCUAACUCCGUGCCAACAGCCGCGGUAAUAC